GAUACUGUAGUCAUAGUAACGUUUGUUUCACAUGUUUGCAAGAAAGCAGAGGCGUCGUAAGGAGUGAUCGAAAUUACUGUUAUUUCAGAUAUCCCACAUUCUUUGAAGUUUUUGGCACUGGGUAACGUCAAAAUUCUCACGUGAUACCAUUAAUACCCUGCAAGUUAAUGCUGUUGGUACCAUCAAGGGAGCUUAUAAGUAAUUAUAUAAAAUUAAGGACGUUAGUUAGUGAAUUAAAUAAUAGGGUCUAGGGAGUUAAACUGUUCACAUAGAUCUCCGUCAAUCACAUUCUGCAACAAAACAAAUAUCGCGAUUUUUAAUUGGCAUAUCAGAAAUUGGACUAUAAGCUGAUAACAGCGAAUCCGACUCUCAAGAAUGCAGCAUCCGAUCGCAAGGCGGCGUCACCAUAACGGCAGAUCGCACGCCGUGCAUAACUCGUCAGCCUUGCUAUACC
rnacentral:misc_RNA from 1 species